UUAAAAGUCUUAUAGAACCAUCAUUAAUAUGCACAACAGCAGAUUGUUGGAGUGCCUAUCGCCGAGUUUUCAAGCCAAUUGAAAAUAAUACAAGUGAAUCAAUUGAUGAUCUGGAAGAUGAAGCAGUUGUGCCAAUUUCUAUAUCAAAUCUUUAUAAUACUGCACAGGAUUCUGAAUUAUCAGAAUCAUUUAGUUUACCUCAUCACCAAUGUUGUGCCAGUCACACAUUGAAUCUUAUAGCCACUGUGGAUGCCAAUAGAGCCAUGCAGUGUAAACAAUAUCAGAGGAUAUAUAGCACAACACUACUUAAAUGCCAAAAUAUAUGGAAUAGGCAAAAUAAGUCUCCUAUUUCAUCUGAGAUUAUUAAGGAAUAUAUUGG